rnacentral:rRNA from 1 species
UGAACGCUGGCGGCGUGCUUAACACAUGCAAGUCGCACGAGAACACCGAACUUCGGUUUGGUAAGUAAAGUGGCGCACGGGUGAGUAACGCGUGGGUAAUCUACCCUUGAAUUUGGGAUAACAUUGCGAAAGCGAUGCUAAUACCGGAUGAAGUCGUAUUUACUUAGGUAGGUAUGAUGAAAGAUGGCCUCUACAUGUAAGCUAUUGUUUGAGGAUGAGCCCGCGUACCAUUAGCUAGUUGGUGGGGUAACGGCUUACCAAGGCAUCGAUGGUUAGCUGGUCUGAGAGGAUGAUCAGCCACACCGGAACUGACACACGGUCCGGACUCCUACGGGAGGCAGCAGUGAGGAAUUUUGCGCAAUGGGGGAAACCCUGACGCAGCAACGCCGCGUGAGUGAUGAAGGCCUUCGGGUCGUAAAGCUCUGUCAAGUGGGAAGAACCCUGUGUAUAAUAAAAUGUACAUGGCUGACGGUACCACUGAAGGAAGCACCGGCUAACUCC